rnacentral:rRNA from 1 species
UGGGUGGGAUGAGUGGCGAACGGGUGAGUAACACGUGAGUAACCUGCCCCCUUCUUUGGGAUACGCCCGGAAACGGGUGCUAAUACUGGAUAUUCACUUGCCUUCGCAUGGGGGUUGGUGGAAAGGGUUUUUUCUGGUGGGGGAUGGGCCCGCGGCCUAUCAGCUUGUUGGUGGGGUGAUGGCCUACCAAGGCUUUGACGGGUAGCCGGCCUGAGAGGGUGACCGGUCACAUUGGGACUGAGAUACGGCCCAG